rnacentral:rRNA from 1 species
UACGGAGGGUGCAAGCGUUGUCCGGAUUUAUUGGGUUUAAAGGGUGCGUAGGCGGCUUUUUAAGUCAGUGGUGAAAUCCUGCAGCUUAACUGUAGGCGUGCCAUUGAUACUGGAAGGCUUGAGUACAGACGAGGUUGGCGGAAUUUAUGGUGUAGCGGUGAAAUGCAUAGAUACCAUAAAGAACACCGAUUGCGAAGGCAGCUAACUAGACUGUAACUGACGCUGAGGCACGAAAGUGCGGGGAUCGAACAGG